GACCACGUAGCUCAGUUGGAAGACCAUUGGCCUAGUAUUCCAAAGGUCGUAGGUUCGAAUCCCACCGUGGCCG
rnacentral:tRNA from 1 species